AACAUUGGGUCUAAGUGAGACACCCUAACCUCGAAACUAAAACCACACCGGAAAAAAAAACAUUCCGGCGAAACUUCCGGAGAAAAAUCAACUUCACAAAAACACACUUAAAAAUGCUAACAAGAAACUUAACACAUUCUUAACAAUAAUUAAGCUAUAACAUAAAUCACAGGAGUACAUUUAUCUCAUUAUGUACUUUAUAGGAUCUGAGUCUCUGAAUCGCUCUCCAUUCAUCUACAUCCUUAUGCUAACGAUCUAGCUUUCUUGACUCCAAUGCUUGCAUCAAAAAUUACCGUCUGCAUCAUUCACCAAUCACCAUCUCUUAUUGGUACUUAAUCACAGUAAACUUGUAAGGAUUAUUUGAUGUUUAUAUUGAUCCCCUUCCGUUGUAACAUGGAGAGAUGGAUAAUUUCCAAGUGGUAUAGAUAAUUCCCACGUGCACGAUUAUAAAGCUUUCCAUGAGGUCAUCUUAGAAAAUUGUGACAUCUUCAUUGCCAAGGCUUUCAUUUGAUAAUAGCUUAAUGGGGUUAUCUAAGAAUCUCCGGUUGAUAUGCUU
rnacentral:lncRNA from 1 species